ACUCCCUUUAUAAAGGUUGGCAUCUGGGUUCCGUACCUGAUACUGGGCUGUUGGAGAAAGACAAACUGUCUACCUUGCACUGAGAAACAUCCUACCGGCACUCCCUGAAAAAUUGUGAUCCUUUAGCCCAGAAAAAUCUGUUUCAUCAACUGAGUCUUCAACAUUGCACUUCCUUCACCAUGCAAGCUCUCCUGGGACUCCUCUUCUUCUCUCUGCUUCUUGCUACAGGUACCUCUUUGCAGUGUGAGAUUUGCACAGCCAUUGGAGGAACCUGUUCCAGUGAUAAUGUGGAAUGUGGUUCUGGAAUAGAUACCUGUGCCGUUCUUCAGUAUGAAUCCACACCACCAACUGUCAAUGCCAGCCAAAUAAUUAAAUCAUGUCUUCAGAAGGCUGCUUGUGAAGAAAUCCAGAAAAAGGUAGGGGCGUCUGAUGCCAAGCUUGGAAAACUUACAAAGGUUGAAUGCAACAAGGCCCCAGGAGCAGCUGCAUCUCUCCUCCUCGCUUUCUUCAGCCUCCUGUUGAUGAAGAUUCUCCUGUAAUGAAGCGCUGGCAGCAGUGCAGAAGAGUCUCCUUCUCAUUUCCAUGCAAAUACCUUCAGACCGAAUCACGUGUUUCACUGGAGAGAUCUGUUGUCAUUUCUGAUGUUUCAAGUAAGAACAAAUAAAGAGGAAGAAAAUAAAUAAACCUACUCUUGUUUUGAGGGUGAGAGGGGUGAUCAAAGCAUGUGUUUCCAACAAUGUGAUUGACUAGAUACCAGAAGUAAAAACGCUUCUGGAAAUCCAUGAUUUUCAAGGAAUGCUGAUGUUUUCGGAGGAGAAUUAAGAUAGAUUCUACCAUUAUACAACCUCCUUAGGUUAUGCAAUAUGUAAUAUUGUAAUUAUAAAUUAAUUCAGGAUGCAUUGCAAUGAUCAGUGCAGAUCUCCAUGUGUUGCCUUUCAGCUAGAACAACUAUUUUCUGUGCAUGCACAUGGCCAAAUGAUUAGGAGGGUUCCGAUAUCUUCUUUCAGAGUGACUUAAGUGGAGUUUUCCUUUGAGUUCCAUUUCAUGUGACAGUGCUUGCACAUAAUUCUCUUGAAAGUGAAGUACCUUGCAAUUUCGGUGCUUAGCUUUGAGAACGUAUGGCACCUGUAGCUGCAGUGUGCAUAGGUGGGUGUGCCUGGGUAGAGUUGGGUUUCUACAUCCUGCAGGGGAGCCUACAGAAACAGACUCCCCACUGUAGAUGGCUUCCAUGUAACACAUAAAGGGUGAUGAGGAGUCAAGAGGAAAGGAAGGAAAUGGAUCCAGGAAAUAAUGAGUGAACCAGGGAAGGAAACCCAUGUCAAGCCAUCAGCUCCCUGGCUUCUCACAAAUUCUCAUACGUUUGCUUCUUGCAAUGAUGCACACUAGAUGGGAUGCCAAAGAACUUUGGACAGAGAAAGAUAUGGAAAGUUUCACUUGUGCCUGGUAGGAGUGUAACAUAAGAACACGUGACAAAUAUAAAGCAUGCAAGAUAAGAUGUCACCAGGUCUGCUAACUGAGACAGGGGCCAGUGAGCCUUUCUUAUCCAGAUCCCUCAACUAACUCUUCAUUGUGGUAUGGAAAACACUUCUCAUUUCAAAAGAAUUCUAACAUCUUAUUUUGCUUUUUAUUAUAUUUCUGCAUCUAAACACAUGCCUUUGGACUCUCUCCAAGUGAAAUCCCCUACAGGCCACACCUUUCACUGCCCUUGUUUCACAUCCACUCUAGGUACCUGCCUAGAAUGUGUAUUUAAACUCUGAGAAGUCCGCUCACCUCCUUUUAGUCAUGCUCCGACUUUGUGGGAAGUCCAGCACCUCCCCUUCCACCAAUGAUGUAGGGCUGUGCAUUGAGGUCUGAUCCUGUUCUGCAUCAGCCUGCCGAAUUGGCCAAUGGCAGGCUGGCCUGGAGGGCUGGGCUCUUUGGGGGCAGGCUUGAGGGAACAAUCAGGCUUCCCUCAUAUCCACUCUUUGGGGAUUUAAAACAGCCCACACCAGCCCCCGAUACCCAGCUCUUCUUUGUCAGAUGAACCCACCCACUCACUCUGGUCAUUUGGCAUUUACUCCUUUAAUUGAUCUUGCUGUGGCUGUGGUGGCAGCCAUAUUUGUGGGGCCAGGUAGAAAUUUGCCUACCAGGCAAAUUGGCUUUUACCUGGAGGUUUUGCCUCCAUAGCAAUCAUCACAGUUUUGGCAGUUUAGGCACUGGGUAACAUUAGGGACAGGGACGCAGGUGGCACUGUGGGCUAAACCACAGAGCCUAGGGCUUGCCGAUCAGAAGGUCGGCGGUUCGAACCCUCCAUGACGGGGUGUGCUCCUGUUGCUCAGUCCCAGCUCCUGCCAACCUAGCAUUUCGAAAGCACGUUAAAGGGCAAGUAGAUAAAUAGGUAAGGAAGGUAAACAGCGUUUCCGUGUGCUGCUCUGGUUCGCCAGAAGCAGCUUAGUCAUGCUGGCCACAUGACCCGGAAGCUGUACACUGGCCCGCUCGGCCAGUAAAGCGAGAUAAGCACCACAACCCCAGAGUCGGUCGUGACUGGACCUAAUGGUCAGGGGUCCCUUUACCUUUUUAACCUUAGCCUUGGUUGGAGGGGGAAUUUUAUCCUCACCUUCCCCUCCAGAAAUAGAGUGUCCAAUUAAAGGGGUCCAUGAUGGAGUUAUUUCUGUCCAUUUGCCCAGACGGGCGGCUUGGGCCUCAGCACUCCUAGAGGCGGUGAUCCCUGCGGGGCUACCCCUAUUUGAUGUAAGUCAUAGGAAUCCCUGCUGCUGGGUUGGCCCUGAUGUCAUCUCCCCACUGAGCAGGG